UCUUAAGGUCGUCUCCCUCGAUAUCAAGAUAAGUUUUGAAUCUCCUGUGAUGAAUCUCUUAUUGUUACUGAACUGAACUGAACUUGAAGCUUUGUUGUGGGACUUGGUAUUUGAGAUACAUUUCUUGAGACUGUAACUAAUAUUGUUUUUUGAGUUUUGAAUUCAGGUGGAAAUGAAGGACCAUUAAGUCAAUAACUCACCAUUUCAGAGAAAUGUCACAGUCUAUUCAGAAGGAUGAGUGGAGUCAUGAUAUAAGCAAGCCCCAGGAGGCAAGAACCCAGGAAAGAGUCAGCUGGGAUCUGACAUACAGCUCAAACCCGUAUACCAUCUGCCUCUUGCUGCCACCCUCCCAAACUUCUACAUUCUUCAAAUGGCUGUCCUUCAACACUGGUUUUCUUUUCUGGUCGUUUCCUGCUGUGUGGCUUUAUUGAUGGCAGUGAAUGCUGAGAUUACAAAGAAACCAGUUUAUCCUGGAAAGAAUGCUACCCCAGAAGAGUUGGAACAGUUUGGGAAAGACCUGCAAGCAUAUUUCAACUACAUAACCCGUCAAAGGUAUGGGAAGAGAGCAGAGGACGAGAGAUUCUAUCAAGAUGGGGUAGAUUUCUUGGAGUAGGUGGUUCUGCUGCAGCAAUCCCAGGACAUCCCAUCAGCUAAAUUUUCACUGCUUCUGUUUCAUUAUCCCUUCCCUGUUUCCAGAGACCUGCAGAGAGUCCUGGCUCUAGCUCUGUAACUCCGGCAA